ACACAAUUGCGCCUACUUUGUUAUUUGUUUCUAAAUUUGAUUCUGAUACAUUUCCUCAUCAGGACUCACAACGAUGGAAACAUCAACGGAUCAAAUAUUCUCUAGUGCUAUUGUCGGUAGUGCUAAUUCGAAGCAAAAUUCAAGAUUAUCACAGUUUUCCGAAUACCGAGAUGAACGAUACUUUGCAAACGUAUGGGUUCAACUGCUUCUGUACAUAAACGUGCGUUACUGUGGUAUUUGGUUUGCAACCAGUUUAAUUACAUUGUACUAUCAGUACGGUAACUUAUCAACUAUUCACCGUGUUUUGUCGGUAUUAUCUUUAGUUAUUGCUGCACCAAUAGAAUGUCUUCGAUUGUAUCUAGGGUACUCUGGAAAUCUUCUGGACAAG